GGUGGCAGAGACAAGCAUGCCAUGGCUUCAGAUAUAACAUUCUAAGAAGAGGGUUGUCCUAGAGAGCUGACCCCUGAGGCAUGCCACGCCCAGGGCUGGCUCUGAUGGAGGUGCCUGGAACUGUGGGACUGCAUGGAAGUUGGCCCUUAAGACAUGGAUCUCACUCACAGCAUUAGGGGCAUGUCCUGAACAUCUAUAAAUGUCCUCAGGAGCUCAUCCUCAUCCUUGAUCUGGGAGAACAAUGGAUGGUUAAGAGGACAUCCAAGAGAAUUAGUUCUGUCACCAUGAAGAAACUCAACCAUCUCCUAUAAAUGUAUGUGACACACACACUGGAGAGCGUGGAGGCCAUUCUGCUGAGGAAUUGGAGAACUUACCCACACCCUAUCUGCACCCUUGUGAUGUCAAUCAAAACUGCAACAUGUAACUUGCAUUAAUUUUAAAAAACCAUACUGCUUAUCUGAGAAUUCUGGAUUGAACUUCAAUUUUGUGAAUUCCUUAAGGCUUAGUUGGUUUAUAAAGCAUAAUUUUUAAUACUGAUAAAAUGAUCUGGCCAACUAAGCACCAAGAAUAUCAAUAAAUAUCAAUAGUUA